GGGGGCGAUCUGGGCUCGACGGUGAUCACGAAAUCCAAGGUGCAUGCCGAGGUACGGUAAUCCUCGUAAAACUUUUCCGUAACCUAAGCUAGUUGCGAACGACUCCAACUACGCCCUCGCUGCCUAAAUAGCGGUGAGCGUCUGACCGGCUGGUGCUGAUCCCACCGGACCCAGGCGUCGACUCAGAUCAGAUCGUGGUGACGUCCGCUCUUGGCCGAUCCACUAAAACCCUAAGGAGCUAAGCGCCGUCGUUCCCUGCUCGUCGGGUAGUCGGUGCCGACAAUCAAGGACUGAGCUAAGCAUGUAGAGCCGAGGGUGGAAGAUUGUCGGACGCGGGUUCGAUUCCCGCCGCCUCCACCA
rnacentral:tmRNA from 1 species